GCGAUCAUACCAGCAUAAUGCCUGGAUCCCAUCAGAACUCCGCAGUUAAACGUGCUUGGGGCGAGAGUAGUACUAGGAUGGGUGACCCUCCUGGGAAGUCCGCGGGUUGCCACCCCU